UUAAUUAUUAAUUUAAAACAACUUUAUGUUAUGUUUCACGCCAUAUUAUCAGACCACCUUAGGUGGGUCCGCCUUAAAUUUUUAGUUUGUGUGAUCGCUGUUGAUUGGUUGCUGGUAAACUGUGUACAGACGUUUUACGUUCGAAUUGCAGAGAAAAAAUGUUUUCUGGUAGCAACAUUGUGCAGUAUGAGCGAACCAUUUCACCAAAAAAAGGGGAAGCAAGGCAAGACGUGACUUCUGAUCAAACCUCCUCCUAAAGAAAGAAAGAGCGACAUCACAUUGCGGGAUGACGUCACCUGAAAAUGACGCUGCUGAGCUGUGUGCCGCGCGCUUUUUUUUUUCUUGCAGGAGACUUGUUGGCUUCGCUAACGGACGUAGUUUUGAACUCGUAUUAGCGCCAUUUAUAGCUGCUUGGACCAGCAUCUUCGGAAUUUGUAGACAUCCUGGCAACUUACAAUUAAUUCGAGGUGAGACACUGAAUUUGAGCAGAAACCAUAAGGAUACUCAAAGGACCUGUGACUCUCAGGAAAUGCAUCAAAUGAGAGUGACAGGUGAAACCGUUUCAAGACAAUGGCAGGAAAAGCAUGCUGAAGAUUGAAUCAAACCUUGGCUGGAAAUAUUUGAAGGGAUAUAGCCAGUCCACAAUGAAAGCUUCGUUGCCCCCCUGUGAGUCUUCUGGCAGAAAUGAUGGCGCCUGUAUUCUUUGGUUUCCCUAAACAUCACAUCGUGUUUUAUACGAGGCUCUUCAAUUAAGUCUGCACCCAAAGAUUCAAUAAGAGAGGGGAUCCUGCCAGUCCAAAGUGAACUCCUGAUGGACAUUGAAGUACUCCUGCAGAGCUUGUAUCUUCGACACCAUGCGAAUUAGAAACUCCACUGAGUGCUUUCCUUCACCAAGGCAGGACCCAGUGACUCAUUACUGUUGAUCGGUCAGGGGCAGGUCAUUUUUUGUUUCAUGUUUAUUAAUUUCUCCAUGGAUUACCAGCCAUAUAUAUGGACACAUGCUGUAUUCUCAAGAUCUAUGCUGUUUGGUAGGAAUAGAGAAAAUGAUAUGUUUAGUCUGUUUUCAAAUGGUAUGUCA